ACACACACACACAAACACACAGCUAGUUGAGGGUUCUGGACUCUCAGGUGCUUGAGGAUUUUAUGCAAGGGGAUGAUGACUGUGGUUUGGGUCUGGUCAGGAAGGGCUGCCUAGAGAAGGUGUCCUGUCAGGUUUGGUAGACUUCGGAUAGUGAGGGCUUCUAGAGUUGAGGAAGAGGGUUGGACGGGAGUCAAAGCACACAGUACAUCUAAGAAACUAGAGGCAAAGGCUUGUGGUCGUGGGCUCAGUGCAAAGCCUGGGAUUCCUCUCCCUUUUUCUGUCCAGACAGUCAGAAACAUGGAGGGUUCAGAAACACAGGUUGGAAAUGCUCACCUCUCAGAAAGCACAGUGGGCGAGGGGUGAGGAGAUAGGACUUCUGAUCCUAGUUCUACCACUGAUUUGUCCCAUAAUGGCAGGCAGGUCAUGUAAACCUUUCUCAGACCAUUUCCUUGUCAGGUAACGUAGAGAUAAAUAGAUAAUUAGACUACUACUAGUGGGAGGCUUAGGUGAAACUUGUAAGUAUCCAUCAGAUGUCAGUUACUAAGAGACUGUUAAUAAAUAAAAGGUAGAUACAGUGGGAAGAGAGGCCAUCUUGUCGGUUGGCCUCUUACUGGAUAUUAAAUACCAGCCACUCAGGGAUGCCAAGGAAUCGGAUACAGAGAAGAGAAAAGGGUUGUUUUUAACAGAUGAAGAAACCAGAGUUCAGAGAGUUUAAACCACUCCCUAGUUGUUGAGCAGGGACUGGGCCAAGGCCAAAUAUGAACAGUGUCACUGCUUUGCUCUAAGAACCCAUAUCUGUAUGUCUUCAGAAUGCCCAGUAGGAGUGACCCUGUUGGUGAGAAUUGUAGGGAUAUUGGAAAACUACGAGGGUACUAUUUUGGAGGUGGAUAGCUGAUCUCAGAUACAAAUAGUUCAGUCUCUUUGUGUGCCUUAAUCCAUGCUGAUCUCUGGGUGAAUUGCUAGGCCCUUCCCCUACUGGUGGGUACUACCUGUAAUCCUUUUUUUUUUUUUUUUAAACUGACACACAGUCUAAUAAAAAUAAAUUUAUUUUGUGUACUAUUUUGUACAAGCUUAUAAAUUUUAAUCCCAGUAUCUACAAGCUCUAUGUCAUUCCUUUUGAGCCUAACUUGCUAGAGGGAACUGAGAGCUGCUCACGUGGAAACAGGAGGUCAGGUCCCUUCCAAGUAGGAAAUACUGUUGUAGGAAGUGCCAGGAGAGAGAAAGCCAGCGGAAGGAGAAUGAGCAGGGCAGAAAUCUGCAUUCUGGUGGGAUCAGUGAAGAGAAAGGGAACUGAGGAUUUAUGUAAGGUUUGUGUAAGAGGCCAUGUCAGCAGGUGCAGAGAGAGAGAGCGAGCGAGCAGAGCACCCGCCGGAGCCUGGUAACUGUGUCAGAGUGCUGCUGGGCCUGUACUUGGCCCUCAGAGCCGCUCCGGCCCUCUUCCUCAUCUCUCUGUCAGCCACCAGCCAUCUCAGCUCCCACAGAAACUUGGCCAAGAGGUAGAGAAAGAUAAAGAAUCAUUCAAAUCGCCCUUCCAGACAUGUUCACUCCAGAACAUCUCUCCACUUGGAUCUUGCCAUCACUCCACCAACACCGGGACAGACAGCUUUCUCUUCCGUGCUCUUUAGCCAACGCUCAACAGGAUCGUCACAAGAAGUUGCUGUGCAUGGCGCCCAAGGUCACCCUGGAUGCUGACAAGCAACUAACAGAUGGGGAGAGAGGAAGAGUGGAAAAGGCACGUGACCUUCUGAGAUUGGCCUGAGUGUGGCACAUGCCCCUUCCACCAACAUUCCACUGGGCUUGACUGUUUACCAAGGGCCUUAUCCCCUCUCCGUUUCUGUCUUGGGAUCCUCUCCACGCCUCCUGUGACGUCUCUGCUCCUGGGGCCCGGGGAGAUGCUCGAGGUGCUGGGAUGCCAGGCGGCGAGGGGCCGAAACCUGCAGACUACUCAUUUUAAAGAAGGGAAAGCCAUUCUUCGGUGAGAUUUGACCUCAAGCUCACCACAAAAUGGACAGACUGACAGCUGCUGUGCUCCCUGGCGAAGGGAGCUAGGGGGUCAAGCCCUGCCAGCUGUCUCCUCUGGACCCCAGAGAGGUUCUUCAGUGCCCAGUUGGAAAACUUGCUAUAGUCACUGGAAAAGGAUGUGCAGAUCAACCCUGCCGCAUGGGGGAUACUAGCAUAAAUAAACAGUGGUUUGAAGCACCAGGCACUCCAAAGGGAAUAUUUGCAUCUGAAAAAAUGUUGUCGGUCUCCCCUGUCCCCUCCUUCUACGCAGCCCCAAGUAGUGAGAGCAGAGGGAAGUUUGGAAUAGGAGGCUUUUGAGUUGGUCCACAAAUGUAUAUUGCGGUAAUGUUUGUUCACUUUAAAUAAAGGAAAGAAAGCCAUUGUCGUAAUGUCUUCCAGAAUUCCACAGAAGCCCCUUUGGUGUUAUCCUACAGGCAGUCCUGAUAUGCAGAUACAAUGGAAAACUCUUAUGCAGUCUGUCUGUUAAUUGAGUAUGUGGCGCUGCCUGGUUUGGGUCCCAGGGCACCCGGCAUUACCCUGGCAGCUGUUAACGUUCCUGACGAAAUUCAUGGUCAGCUUUAGGCACACACAGAUGCCGAAGGGGGCUACCUGUUGAGAGCAUCUCUACACCACGCCUGCUGGACUGAAACCUGCUGCCUGCCUUGCCUUGGUCUUCUUCCCGCCUCCAACCCCAGUGGACAAGGGAGGGAAAUCUCUCACCCAGAGGAUGCUUGCUUACUCAUCAAGGUGGUCCAGGGAACAAGGCUCAUCUCAGAACUGCAUCCAGAAGACAACUGGCAGUAACCAACAUCUUUUUAAAAACUUGUCAAAGGGAGAAAGAUCUUGAAUUAAGUUUUCAUCAUUAUCCGUCUCAUGGCCCUUUCAUUACAUCUCAUUACCCACCCAUUACCUACAGACUGUCCCUCCUCAAAGGUGUCAAAAGGAGCAGACAGAUAAUGUUGGGGACCCUGCUAUAGACUGAAUGUUUGUGUCCCCCGCAUUCAUAUGUUGAAACCUAAUCCCCAGUGUGAUGGUAUUUGGAAGUGUGGCACUUGGGAGGUGAUUAAAUCAAAAGGGCUCUCACUCUUAUGAAUGGAAUUAGCACACUUAUGAAAGAGAGCCUGGAGACAUCCAGGCUUCCACCAUUUGAGGACACAGCUGGUGAAGAUGGCUGUCUAUGAACUGGGAAGAGGGCCCUCACCAGACACCAGAUCUGCUGGAAUCUUGGUCUUGUUCAGCCUCCAGAAGUGUGAUAAAUAAAUUUCUGUUUCU